rnacentral:rRNA from 1 species
UACGGAGGGUGCAAGCGUUAAUCGGAAUUACUGGGCGUAAAGGGUGCGUAGGUUGUUUGAUAAGUUAUCUGUAAAAUCCCUGGGCUUAACCUGGGCAGGUCAGAUAAGACUGUUAGACUGGAGUAUAGGAGAGGGUAGUGGAAUUUCCGGUGUAGCGGUGAAAUGCGUAGAGAUCGGAAGGAACACCAGUGGCGAAGGCGGCUACCUGGCCUAAUACUGACACUGAGGCACGAAAGCGUGGGGAGCAAACAGG